rnacentral:rRNA from 1 species
CCUACGGGUGGCAGCAGUGAGGAAUAUUGGUCAAUGGGCGGAAGCCUGAACCAGCCAAGUAGCGUGAAGGAUGACUGCCCUACGGGUUGUAAACUUCUUUUAUAUGGGAAUAAAGUGCAGUAUGUGUACUGCUUUGCAUGUACCUUAUGAAUAAGGAUCGGCUAACUCCGUGCCAGCAGCCGCGGUAAUACGGAGGAUCCGAGCGUUAUCCGGAUUUAUUGGGUUUAAAGGGAGCGUAGGCGGGAUGUUAAGUCAGUUGUGAAAGGUUGCGGCUCAACCGUAAAAUUGCAGUGGAAACUGGCAGACUUGAGUACAGGAGAGGGAGGCGGAAUUCGUGGUGUAGCGGUGAAAUGCUUAGAUAUAACGAAGAACUCCGAUUGCGAAGGCAGCCUGCUGGACUGUAACUGACGCUGAUGCUCGAAAGUGUGGGUAUCAAACAGGAUUAGAUACCCGAGUAGUC